CAUCUUCCCUAAGCAUAGACUAUCUUAUAUUUACUUAGUGAUCAUGAAGAACAGUUGUACGAACAUCAUACUUAAAAUCACAGAAAUUAAAUAUGAUUCAAAAGAAGAUAUCCAUUAAAAAUAAUAAGUUCAUACAACCCCAAGAAUAUAAAAUAAAAUAUAAAACCCGUGUCCCUUUGUUAGGGCUGCAUCCAGCCCUGGUGAGGAGAUCAGCCUUCCAUGGAGUGGUGGAUGGCAGCAGCAGCAAAGCAGUGGGCUCCCAUUCCUUCCUUCUCUUUCUCCUUUGAAAUAUUCCCAAAUAGCCAAACUCCUCUCUCUCCUUUGUUUCCCGUGGGACUCUGCCUCCCAAGAGCUUAGUUGAUGGGAGAAGCCCACCUGGGGAAGAAGAAUGAAUGGAACCGAAGAGAAGCCUGAUGGAUUCAGAGAAGAGCUGGGAUCAGUCCCCUCAAUGGGGAAGAAGGAAUGCCUUUCUCUGUUCCAUUCCUGGGCUUUUUAUAGGCUUCAUACUUCCUCUUUCCUCCCUGUUCCGAAUGAAGGAUAAAGGUGAAAAGAAGCGGGAUAAGGCAGAUGACUUCAGCCCCUUGAUCCUUGGACGCGGUAGGAGUCUUGCGGAUGAGGAUUUGAGUCUAUCCGUGAUUGGGAUUUGGUGCUGAUCUCGUGGAUAAUGGGAGGCUGGGACGGGCUCUGUUUGUUGGACACAGGGGAUCCGGAUGAAUCAAUUGCUGAAUGCAGGGAAUAUUGUUUGUGGACGUGAUCCGUGGGAGGAUAAACUAGCGAAAAAUGGCUGAGAUGAAGACACGUGAAACAGGGGAUGAUUCAUGGGAUUCGGCAGCUCGGGCGUUGGGAGUGAAUGUGCUGGAAGCUUGAUCUGCAUCGCGGGAUGGCUCGCGGAUGAGGUUGAGAUUAAUCCGGGAGUUUGGAUGAAGCUCACGGUUGGGAACGGAUGUUAAGUGAUCCGGAACAGGGGAGAAUAAGCUUAGAUGCCGUGUUUGCUGGUCCGUGAGGCUCGGGAGGAUGGAGUUGCAUUAUGGGUUGAAUGCGGUUGAUGGAAUGAAGAUGGAUGCUAAACGAAAUGAAGGGGAGAUGAGCUGAGGCUUUGAACGCGGAAGGGAUGAAGCUGGGACGGCUUUGGGAUAAAGAUGGAUUACGAACGGGAUGUAUGUGAUAAGGAUGUAAUCCGAGAUGCAGGGGAAGUUGGACUUGGCUGAAGGCUCGGGAACGGCUGGGAGGAAGAUCGGAUCCGCGGAGGAGAUGAGGUUGAAAAGCUUGGACCUUAUCCGUGGGUGAUAAUCGGAAGAAUAUUUGAUGGCUGGGACGUUGUGGAUGUUGGCGGGAAUGAAGGGAACGUGGGAUGAAGAGAAGUUGAGAGAGAGAUGUUGGGAAGAUGAACUCGUGAUGAAGAUACGACGGGGAGGAUGGAGCUUUGGGAUUCGUGCAAAUAUGAUGAUAUGCUUUGAG
rnacentral:lncRNA from 1 species